UACGUAGGUGGCGAGCGUUGUCCGGAUUUACUGGGCGUAAAGAGCGCGCAGGCGGUCGUUCAAGUCGCGUGUGAAAGCCCCCGGCUCAACUGGGGAGGGUCACGCGAUACUGAUCGACUCGAAGGCAGGAGAGGGUAGUGGAAUUCCCGGUGUAGUGGUGAAAUGCGUAGAUAUCGGGAGGAACACCAGUGGCGAAGGCGACUACCUGGACUGUUCUUGACGCUGAGGCGCGAAAGCUAGGGGAGCAAACGGG
rnacentral:rRNA from 1 species